rnacentral:rRNA from 1 species
UUCUGUAAGCCUGUGAAGGUGAGUUGAGAAGCUUGCUGGAGGUAUCAGAAGUGCGAAUGCUGACAUGAGUAACGACAAUGGGUGUGAAAAACACCCACGCCGAAAGACCAAGGGUUCCUGCGCAACGUUAAUCGACGCAGGGUUAGUCGGUUCCUAAGGCGAGGCUGAAAAGCGUAGUCGAUGGGAAACAGGUUAAUAUUCCUGUACUUCUGGUUACUGCGAUGGAGGGACGGAGAAGGCUAGGCCAGCUUGGCGUUGGUUGUCCAAGUUUAAGGUGGUAGGCUGAAAUCUUAGGUAAAUCCGGGGUUUCAAGGCCGAGAGCUGAUGACGAGUCGUCUUUUAGAUGACGAAGUGGUUGAUGCCAUGCUUCCAAGAAAAGCUUCUAAGCUUCAGGUAACCAGGAACCGUACCCCAAACCGACACAGGUGGUCGGGUAGAGAAUACCAAGGCGCUUGAGAGAACUCGGGUGAAGGAACUAGGCAAAAUGGCACCGUAACUUCGGGAGAAGGUGCGCCGGCUAGGGU